rnacentral:snRNA from 1 species
UCACCUGCCGAAUCAACU